rnacentral:sRNA from 1 species
GGGCAGUUGGGGUUCUCCGUACGCCUCGGAAACAGCAGCCCAACGCAGAACCACGAGAUAACGGGGAUUGCAGAGCCCUGCGCAAAAGAAGGAAAAUUAAGACGCAGCGGAGCCCAGGAGGUGCCCGCACGCGGGAAGGACUGGCGUGCAGACGAGGCAGGGGGAGGUUUGCACUCGGCGUGGCGCGGGUGAGCGGCGUGCCCUCGAGCACCCGGCCGCCAGUUCGGAUGCUCCCGAUCCUCGGGGAGCCGGGGCGCUGCGCCGGAGUCACUUCAGCCCACGUUGUUCAGGUGACACCCGAGGAAGAGAAGACUCCAGUGUGCAAAACAUUUCGGGGUUUCCGGGCCAGCGGUUCCGGGCGCGCCUCUCGGGCGGCGGCGCAGAACUACAACCCCCAGACUCCCCGGCGUGGCGGCACGUGGGCCCGAGCCGGGCGGCCGCGGAUAUAAAGCGCGGCGGCGGCUGCCGGGCUGAGCGGCGGCACGGACAGAGCGGAGGCCUGGAAGGGGAAACUGAAGCAGAAAGAGGUUACUUAAUGGGCUCAAGGUCACCUACCUGACCUACCAGCAGCUCAAUGGCCUUCCCAAAGAAGAAACUUCAGGGUCUUGUGGCUGCAACCAUCACGCCAAUGACUGAGGAUGGAGAAAUCAACUUUUCAGUAAUUGGUCAGUAUGUGGAUUAUCUUGUGAAAGAACAGGGAGUGAAGAACAUUUUUGUGAAUGGCACAACGGGAGAAGGCCUGUCCCUGAGCGUCUCAGAGCGUCGCCAGGUCGCAGAGGAGUGGGUGACAAAAGGGAAGGACAAGCUGGAUCAGGUGAUAAUUCACGUAGGAGCACUGAGCUUGAAGGAGUCACAGGAACUGGCCCAACAUGCAGCAGAAAUAGGAGCUGAUGGCAUCGCUGUCAUUGCACCAUUCUUCCUCAAGCCAUGGACCAAAGAUAUCCUGAUUAAUUUCCUAAAGGAAGUGGCUGCUGCCGCCCCUGCCCUGCCAUUUUAUUACUAUCACAUUCCUGCCUUGACAGGGGUAAAGAUUCGUGCUGAGGAGUUGUUGGAUGGGAUUCUGGAUAAGAUCCCCACCUUCCAAGGGCUGAAAUUCAGUGAUACAGAUCUCUUAGACUUCGGGCAAUGUGUUGAUCAGAAUCGCCAGCAACAGUUUGCUUUCCUUUUUGGGGUGGAUGAGCAACUGUUGAGUGCUCUGGUGAUGGGAGCAACUGGAGCAGUGGGCAGUACCUAUAACUACCUGGGAAAAAAGACAAACCAGAUGUUGGAGGCUUUUGAACGAAAGGACUUCUCUUUAGCCCUGAACUAUCAGUUUUGUAUCCAGAGAUUUAUCAACUUUGUUGUCAAACUAGAAAACUCAAAACUCAAAGUUUCAAAGAACCAAAGGGCUCUUCCUCUAGGCACCACAAACUUCCCCUUCCUCCACUGAGAAGACUGUCUCUCCCGCAGGACCCUGAAUUAUUGAAAUUGAAGGCCGACUUCCUUUCUGCAGUGAGCCCAGGGGCUACUGUUAUUAUCCUGUCACACUUGCAACUAGUUACUUUUGUUUAGUAAUAGAAGAUUUGGGGAGGACCCAAAGGACUCACAACUUUCUCUCCAUACCUCCUUUUACUCUUUUCUUUCUGUGUAAUGUAUAAACAACUGUUUAAUCUCCCCUCUAACAAACCUUGAUGUAAGUUUUCUGAUAUCAAAAUAUAUUGACAGUUAACCCUUACUGAUUUUAAACUUGACUAUCCAGUCUGUUAAUUACCUAAGAUUUUGUUUUCAUUUCAUCUCUAAUUGUUUUGAUCAUUGGCAGAGAAAGAGUAUUUGAAAUUCAUAUCAGUUUUGCUCCUUAUUUUAAUCUCUUUGAAUUAAAAAUAAAAUAUUUUCAAAAUGCAAAUUUGAAAUUAUAAGUAGACUUCAAUUAUCUUUGCUAAUCCUCUCUUUAAUUAGUCAGCUAGUUAAAAGUUGUUAUAUUCAUAUAUCCUCAACCCUCUUUUUGCCUUUGUAGCUGUUAAUUUCCUGAAAGAAGAAAAUGAGUUUUUUGUUAGUUUUUGGUUCUGAGGAUGUGAUAUCCUUAUUUAAUGAUACUAAAGCCAGAUUUAAAUUUUAAAAUUAAUUCUUGGGUAUCCAGUAACCAAAGAACUAUUUUUCUA